rnacentral:lncRNA from 1 species
CAUAGCCCACCCUACAGCCACAUAUCCCACCCUACAGCCNNNNNNNNNNNNNNNNNNNNNNNNNNNNNNNNNNNNNNNNNNNNGACACAGGGACCUUCUGGGGACAUGGGGAACCUCUGGGGACAUGGGGGUGGCAGGAGGACCCCAAGGAGACACAGGGACCUUCUGGGGACAUGGGGUGGCAGGGGGACCUUCUGGGGACAUGGGGACCUUCUGGGGACGUGGGGGUGGCAGGAGGACCCAAGGGGACCCGCAGGUGGCAGGAGGACCCCAAGGAGACACAGGGACCUUCUGGGGACAUGGGGUGGCAGGAGGACCCCAAGGGGACAUAAGGACCUUCUGGGGACAUGGGGGUGGCAGGAGGACCCCAGGGGGACAUGGGGGUGGCAGGGGGGUCUUCUGAGGACAUGGGGAGCUUCUGGGGACAUGGGGGUGGCAGGAGGACCCCAAGGAGACAUAAGGACCUUCUGGGGACAUGGGGACCCUCUGGGGACAUGGAGGUGACAGGAGGACCCAAGGGGACCCGAAGGUGGCAGGAGGACCCAAGGAGACACAGGGACCUUCUGGGGACAUGGGGGUGACAGGGGGGCCUUCUGAGGACAUGGGGAACCUCUGGGGACAUGGGGGUGGCAGGAGGACCCCAAGGAGACACAGGGACCUUCUGGGGACAUGGGGACCCUCUGGGGACAUGGGGGUGGCAGGAGGACCCCAAGGGGACACAGGGACCUUCUGGGGACAUGGGGAACCUCUGGGGACAUGGGGGUGGCAGGAGGACCCCAAGGGACAUGGGGAGCUUCUGGGGACCUGGUUGUGGCAGGAGGACCCCAGGAGGACAUGGGGGUGGCAGGAGGACCCCAAGGGACAUGGAGACCCUCUGGAGAUGUGGCAGUGGCAGGAGGACCUCCUGGG